rnacentral:rRNA from 1 species
GGAUGCGAUCAUACCAGCACUAAAGCACCGGAUCCCAUCAGAACUCCGAAGUUAAGCGUGCUUGGGCGAGAAUAGUACUNN